GUACGGGGGGGGUAAGCGUUGUUCGGAAUUACUGGGCGUAAAGGGCUCGUAGGCGGCCAACUAAGUCAUACGUGAAAUCCCUCAGCUUAACUGGGGAACUGCGUGUGAUACUGGAUGGCUUGGAUUUGGGAGAGGGAUGCGGAAUUCCAGGUGUAGCGGUGAAAUGCGUAGAUAUCUGGAGGAACACCGGUGGCGAAGGCGGCAUCCUGGACCAAUAUUGACGCUGAGGAGCGAAAGCCAGGGGAGCAAACGGG
rnacentral:rRNA from 1 species